rnacentral:rRNA from 1 species
AACGUACGCUGGCGGCACGCCUAACACAUGCAAGUCGAACGAAGUAGCAAUACUUAGUGGCAGACGGGUGAGUAACAUGUAGGUAUCUGCCCUUUGGCCUGGAAUAACACGAGGAAACUUGUGCUAAUACCGGAUAAGUCUUUACGGAGAAAGCUUUAUGCACCAUUGGAUGAGCCUGCACUUGAUUAGUUUGUUGGUGGGGUAAUGGCCUACCAAGACUGUGAUCAAUAGCUGAUUUGAGAGGAUGAUCAGCCACAUUGGGACUGAGACACGGCCCAAACUCCUACGGGAGGCAGCAGUGGGGAAUCUUGCACAAUGGAGGAAACUCUGAUGCAGCGAUGCCGCGUGAGUGAAGAAGGCCCUUGGGUUGUAAAGCUCUUUCGUCGGGGAAGAAAAUGACUGUACCCGAAUAAGAAGGUCCGGCUAACUUCGUGCCAGCAGCCGCGGUAAUACGAAGGGACCUAGCGUAGUUCGGAAUUACUGGGCUUAAAGAGUUCGUAGGUGGUUGAAAAAGUUAGUGGUGAAAUCCCAGAGCUUAACUCUGGAACUGCCAUUAAAACUUUUCAGCUAGAGUAUGAUAGAGGAAAGCAGAAUUUCUAGUGUAGAGGUGAAAUUCGUAGAUAUUAGAAAGAAUACCAAUUGCGAAGGCAGCUUUCUGGAUCAUUACUGACACUGAGGAACGAAAGCAUGGGUAGCGAAGAGGAUUAGAUACCCUCGUAGUCCAUGCCGUAAACGAUGUGUGUUAGACGUUGGAAAUUUAUUUUCAGUGUCGCAGGGAAACCGAUAAACACACCGCCCGGGGAGUACGACCGCAAGGUUAAAACUCAAAUGAAUUGACGGGGACCCGCACAAGUAGUGGAGCAUGUGGUUUAAUUCGAAGAUACGCGCAGAACCUUACCAACACUUGACAUGUUCGUCGCGACUCUAAGGGAUUAGAGUUUUCGGUUCGGCCGGACGAAACACAGGUGCUGCAUGGCUGUCGUCAGCUCGUGUCGUGAGAUGUUGGGUUAAGUCCCGCAACGAGCGCAACCCUCACUUUUAGUUGCCAUCAUUAAGUUGGGCACUCUGAAAGAACUGCCAGUGAUAAGCUGGAGGAAGGUGGGGAUGACGUCAAGUCCUCAUGGCCCUUACGUGUUGGGCUACACACGUGCUACAAUGGUAUCUACAACAGGAAGCAAGACUGCGAAGUUAAGCAAAUCCCUAAAAGAUACCUCAGUUCGGAUUGCACUCUGCAACUCGAGUGCAUGAAGCUGGAAUUACUAGUAAUCGUGGAUCAGCGUGCCACGGUGAAUGCGUUCCCGGGUCU